GAGCUUGCUCCUCUGACGUUAGCGGCGGACGGGUGAGUAACACGUGGAUAACCUACCUAUAAGACUGGGAUAACUUCGGGAAACCGGAGCUAAUACCGGAUAAUAUAUUGAACCGCAUGGUUCAAUAGUGAAAGACGGUUUUGCUGUCACUUAUAGAUGGAUCCGCGCCGCAUUAGCUAGUUGGUAAGGUAACGGCUUACCAAGGCAACGAUGCGUAGCCGACCUGAGAGGGUGAUCGGCCACACUGGAACUGAGACACGGUCCAGACUCCUACGGGAGGCAGCAGUAGGGAAUCUUCCGCAAUGGGCGAAAGCCUGACGGAGCAACGCCGCGUGAGUGAUGAAGGUCUUCGGAUCAUAAAACUCUGUUAUUAGGGAAAAACAAAUGUGUAAGUAACUAUGCACGUCUUGACGGUACCUAAUCAGAAAGCCACGGCUAACUACGUGCCAGCAGCCGCGGUAAUACGUAGGUGGCAAGCGUUAUCCGGAAUUAUUGGGCGUAAAGCGCGCGUAGGCGGUUUUUUAAGUCUGAUGUGAAAGCCCACGGCUCAACCGUGGAGGGUCAUUGGAAACUGGAAAACUUGAGUGCAGAAGAGGAAAGUGGAAUUCCAUGUGUAGCGGUGAAAUGCGCAGAGAUAUGGAGGAACACCAGUGGCGAAGGCGACUUUCUGGUCUGUAACUGACGCUGAUGUGCGGAAGCGUGGGG
rnacentral:rRNA from 1 species